rnacentral:rRNA from 1 species
UACGAAGGGUGCGAGCGUUAAUCGGAAUUACUGGGCGUAAAGCGUGCGCAGGCGGUUUUGCAAGCCGGAUGUGAAAUCCCCGGGCUCAACCUGGGAAUGGCAUUCGGGACUGCAAGGCUGGAGUGCGGCAGAGGAGACUGGAAUUCCUGGUGUAGCAGUGAAAUGCGUAGAUAUCAGGAGGAAUACCGAUGGCGAAGGCAGGUCUCUGGGCUGACACUGACGCUCAUGCACGAAAGCGUGGGGAGCAAACAGG